rnacentral:rRNA from 1 species
AAGAGGAUACACCUGUUCCCAUUCCGAACACAGAAGUUAAGCUCUUUAGCGCCGAUGGUACUUGGUGGGAAGCUGCCUGGGAGAGUAGGACGUAGCCACGUA